rnacentral:rRNA from 1 species
GCAGUCGACGAGAGGACAUGGGAAGCUUGCUUCCUAUGAAAUCGAGUGGCAAACGGGUGAGUAACGCGUAAACAACCUGCCCUUCGGAUGGGGAUAACAGCCGGAAACGGCUGCUAAUACCGAAUACGAUCUUUUCGUCGCAUGACGGAAAGAAGAAAGGAUGGCCUCUAUACAAAGCUAUCGCCGAAGGAGGGGUUUGCGUCUGAUUAGCUGGUUGGAGGGGUAACGGCCCAACAAGGCGAUGAUCAGUAGCCGGUCUGAGAGGAUGAACGGCCACAUUGGGACUGAGACACGGCCCAGACUCCUACGGGAGGCAGCAGUGGGGAAUCUUCCGCAAUGGACGAAAGUCUGACGGAGCAACGCCGCGUGAGUGAAGAAGGUCUUCGGAUUGUAAAGCCCUGUUAUACGGGACGAAAAAGACGGAUGCCAACAGUAUCCGUCCGUGACGGUACCGUAAGAGAAAGCCACGGCUAACUACGUGCCAGCAGCCGCGGUAAUACGUAGGUGGCAAGCGUUGUCCGGAAUUAUUGGGCGUAAAGGGCGCGCAGGCGGUUCGGUAAGUCUGUCUUAAAAGUGCGGGGCUUAACCCCGUGAGGGGACGGAAACUGUCGAACUUGAGUGUCGGAGAGGAAAGCGGAAUUCCUAGUGUAGCGGUGAAAUGCGUAGAUAUUAGGAGGAACACCGGUGGCGAAAGCGGCUUUCUGGA